rnacentral:rRNA from 1 species
AGUGAAGCGGCAACAGCUCAAAUUUGAAAUCUGGCCCUCGUGGUCCGAGUUGUAAUUUGUAGAGGAUGCUUUUGGUGCGGUGCCUUCCGAGUUCCCUGGAACGGGACGCCAUAGAGGGUGAGAGCCCCGUCUGGUUGGACGCCAAACCUCUGUAAAGCUCCUUCGACGAGUCGAGUAGUUUGGGAAUGCUGCUCUAAAUGGGAGGUAUAUGUCUUCUAAAGCUAAAUACCGGCCAGAGACCGAUAGCGCACAAGUAGAGUGAUCGAAAGAUGAAAAGCACUUUGAAAAGAGGGUUAAAUAGUACGUGAAAUUGUUGAAAGGGAAGCGUUUGUGACCAGACUUGGGCUUGGUUAAUCAUCCGGCGUUCUCGCCGGUGCACUUUGCCAGCCCAGGCCAGCAUCGGUUCGCUGCGGGGGAGAAAGGCGUCGGGAAUGUAGCUCCUCGGAGUGUUAUAGCCCUUCGCACAAUACCCUGUGGCGGACCGAGGUUCGCGCAUCUGCAAGGAUGCUGGCGUAAUGGUCAUCAACGACCCGUCUUGAAACACGGACCAAGGAGUCGUCUUCGUAUGCGAGUGUUCGGGUGUCAAACCCCUACGCGUAAUGAAAGUGAACGGAGGUGAGAGCUACGGCGCAUCAUCGACCGAUCCUGAAGUUCUCGGAUGGAUUUGAGUAAGAGCAUACGGGGCCGGACCCGAAAGAAGGUGAACUAUGCCUGUAUAGGGUGAAGCCAGAGGAAACUCUGGUGGAGGCUCGCAGCGGUUCUGACGUGCAAAUCGAUCGUCAAAUAUGGGCAUGGGGGCGAAAGACUA